GGGUUCGAUUCUGGCUCAGAACGAACGCUGGUGGCGUGUCUUAUACAUGCAAGUCGAGCGGUCCGCAAGGAUAGCGGCGAACGGGUGAGUAACGCGUAAGCAAUCUGCCCCGCAUAUUGGGAUAGCCGUGCCAACGCGCGGAUAAUACCGAAUAACGUGGCCCCGGACAUCCGGGGUUGACGAAAGAUUCAUCGAUGCGGGAUGAGCUUGCGUCCGAUUAGCUAGUUGGCGGGCAACGGCCCACCAAGGCGACGAUCGGUAGCCCGGCCUGAGAGGGUGAUCGGCCACAGUUGGGACUGAGAUACGGCCCAGACUCCGUACGGGAGGCAGCAGGUAGGGAAUAUUGCACAAUGGGGGAAACCCUGAUGCAGCAACGCCCACGUGUGGGAAGAAGCAUUUCGGUGUGUAAACCACUGUCGUGAGGGAAUAAUACGCGUCUUCGGGCGCGGGAGAAUGUACCUCGAAAGGAAGCACCGGCAAACUUCGUGCCAGCCGCGGC
rnacentral:rRNA from 1 species